rnacentral:rRNA from 1 species
UACGUAGGGUGCAAGCGUUGUCCGGAAUUAUUGGGCGUAAAGAGCUCGUAGGCGGUCUGUUGCGUCGGCUGUGAAAACCCGGGGCUCAACUCCGGGCCUGCAGCCGAUACGGGCAGACUAGAGUGCGGUAGGGGAGACUGGAUUUCCUGGUGUAGCGGUGAAAUGCGCAGAUAUCAGGAGGAACACCGGUGGCGAAGGCGGGUCUCUGGGCCGUAACUGACGCUGAGGAGCGAAAGCAUGGGGAGCGAACAGG